UUUCUCACUCUAAAAAGAAACUCUUGCUCUAAAGGUUUUCUCUGUCUUCUCUCUAGAUACUCUGAACUUGGAACCAUAGGAAGUUGAUUCCGGUGCUGCCUAAGUGUCUGCGGAGUAGGGGGUUUCGUUUCUACCGAACAAUUUCUUGUUUCGAUCGGUUAUGUCAAGUUUCGCUCUGUGUGGAGGGUACUGUUAGGGAACUCCAGUAGGAUAUACUGCUCAUCUUCAAGAUGAGAGCAAAUGUUGUUGAGGAAAUACCUCUAGAGCAAGAGCUGGAGGAGAAUGAUGUUGCUGCACAAUCUACUUAGAAUUUAGAUAUUUUAAACUUUUGGAUAUUAAAUACUAUAAACUGUCUAAGUUUGAAAAUUCUGUAUUUUGCUUUGAAUGACUGUAAUUCCUUGUUUAAUAUCAAGUCAUACUCUAAUUGAUC